rnacentral:sRNA from 1 species
CAGCACGGGCCACGGGUCGCCAGCCGCCGC